AAUGAAGUGCCUGAAUAAAAGGAUUAUUUUGAUAGAAUAAAAUAUGUUUAAUAAACCUUCAUUU
rnacentral:tRNA from 2 species